UACGUAGGGCGCAAGCGUUAUCCGGAAUUAUUGGGCGUAAAGAGCUCGUAGGCGGUUUGUCGCGUCUGUCGUGAAAGCCCCGGGCUCAACCUGGGAAUGGCGAUGGAUACUGGCUCGCUAGAGUGCGGUAGAGGAGAGUGGAAUUCCCGGUGUAGCAGUGAAAUGCGUAGAGAUCGGGAGGAACAUCAGUUGCGAAGGCGGCUCUCUGGACCAGCACUGACACUGAGGCACGAAAGCGUGGGGAGCAAACAGG
rnacentral:rRNA from 1 species